GUGGGGAAUCUUGCGCAAUGGGCGAAAGCCUGACGCAGCCAUGCCGCGUGAAUGAUGAAGGUCUUAGGAUUGUAAAAUUCUUUCACCGGGGACGAUAAUGACGGUACCCGGAGAAGAAGCUCCGGCUAACUUCGUGCCAGCAGCCGCGGUAAUACGAAGGGGGCUAGCGUUGCUCGGAAUUACUGGGCGUAAAGGGCGCGUAGGCGGACAGCUUAGUCAGAGGUGAAAGCCCAGGGCUCAACCUUGGAAUUGCCUUUGAUACUGGCUGUCUUGAGUUUGGUAGAGGUGAGUGGAACUCCGGGUGUAGAGGUGAAAUUCGUAGAUAGUCGGAAGAACACCAGUGGCGAAGGCGACUCACUGGCCCAAUACUGACGCUGGGGCGCGAAAGCGUGGGGAGCAAACAGGAUUAGAUACCCUGGUAGUCC
rnacentral:rRNA from 1 species